rnacentral:rRNA from 1 species
GACGAACGCUGGCGGCGUGCCUAAUACAUGCAAGUCGAACGCCUUUUCUUUCACCGGAGCUUGCUCCACCGAAAGAAAAAGAGUGGCGAACGGGUGAGUAACACGUGGGUAACCUGCCCAUCAGAAGGGGAUAACACUUGGAAACAGGUGCUAAUACCGUAUAACACUAUUUUCCGCAUGGAAGAAAGUUGAAAGGCGCUUUUGCGUCACUGAUGGAUGGACCCGCGGUGCAUUAGCUAGUUGGUGAGGUAACGGCUCACCAAGGCAACGAUGCAUAGCCGACCUGAGAGGGUGAUCGGCCACACUGGGACUGAGACACGGCCCAGACUCCUACGGGAGGUAGCAGUAGGGAAUCUUCGGCAAUGGACGAAAGUCUGACCGAGCAACGCCGCGUGAGUGAAGAAGGUUUUCGGAUCGUAAAACUCUGUUGUUAGAGAAGAACAAGGAUGAGAGUAAAACGUUCAUCCCUUGACGGUAUCUAACCAGAAAGCCACGGCUAACUACGUGCCAGCCGCCGCAGUAA